rnacentral:rRNA from 1 species
AAAUUGAAGAGUUUGAUCAUGGCUCAGAUUGAACGCUGGCGGCAGGCCUAACACAUGCAAGUCGAACGGUAACAGGAAGCAGCUUGCUGUUUCGCUGACGAGUGGCGGACGGGUGAGUAAUGUCUGGGGAACUGCCUGAUGGAGGGGGAUAACUACUGGAAACGGUAGCUAAUACCGCAUAACGUCGCAAGA